rnacentral:lncRNA from 10 species
CAAUGUCUUCUCUACCAAGUGAAUCUCUGACUCUACAAGUUUCCUUCCCAAGACACUGUGGUCCAGGGCUACCUCCCUUACAGCCUACAUGACAACAUGUGCAAAUUAUUUGUCAGCAUCUAAUUGCAAGAACGAUGAGGAAACCAAGGCACAGAGGUUAAACAACGUGUCCAAGCCACGUAGCAAGUAAACAAUUGAGCCAGGCUCCAAAUCCAAACGUUCUGGCGUCAGAGUCCUAUAAAGAUUUUUUUGGCCUAAUGUGAGGAAGUACUUUCUAAGAAUAAGAGUUUACCAAUUAAAAGGGGGUUGCUGUUUUAUGAAGAUAUUUAAACCAAGGCUGAGGGGCCAUUUUCAAGGGAUGCUGACUCGGUAAAAGUUCUUUGGCAGCAAGCAUCAGAAACCAAAUGUAACAACUUUAAGCUAAAAAAUAAAAAGAAGGAAGAGGAAGAAGAGAAGAUGGGGUUGAGGGAGGAGGACAGG